UACGGAGGGAGCUAGCGUUAUUCGGAAUUACUGGGCGUAAAGCGCACGUAGGCGGCUUUGUAAGUUUAGAGGUGAAAGCCUGGAGCUCAACUUCCAGAAUUGCCUUUAAGACUGCAUCGCUUUGAAUCCAGGAGAGGUGAGUGGAAUUCCGAGUGUAGAGGUGAAAUUCGUAGAUAUUCGGAAGAACACCAGUGGCGAAGGCGGCUCACUGGACUGGUAUUGACGCUGAGGUGCGAAAGCUGGGGGGGGAGCAAACGGG
rnacentral:rRNA from 1 species